UCUCCUGGAAACGGGUGGUAAUGCCGGAUGUUCCACAUGAGCGCAUGCGAGUGUGGGAAAGGCUUUUUGCGGCAUGGGAUGGGGUCGCGUCCUAUCAGCUUGUUGGUGGGGUAACGGCCUACCAAGGCGUUGACGGGUAGCCGGCCUGAGAGGGCGACCGGCCACAUUGGGACUGAGAUACGGCCCAGACUCCUACGGGAGGCAGCAGUGGGGAAUAUUGCACAAUGGGCGCAAGCCUGAUGCAGCGACGCCGCGUGCGGGAUGGAGGCCUUCGGGUUGUAAACCGCUUUUGUUCAAGGGCAAGGCACGGUUUCGGCCGUGUUGAGUGGAUUGUUCGAAUAAGCACCGGCUAACUACGUGCCAGCAGCCGCGGUAAUACGUAGGGUGCAAGCGUUAUCCGGAUUUAUUGGGCGUAAAGGGUUCGUAGGCGGUUCGUCGCGUCCGGUGUGAAAGUCCAUCGCUUAACGGUGGAUCCGCGCCGGGUACGGGCGGGCUUGAGUGCGGUAGGGGAGACUGGAAUUCCCGGUGUAACGGUGGAAUGUGUAGAUAUCGGGAAGAACACCAA
rnacentral:rRNA from 1 species